rnacentral:rRNA from 1 species
UGCUAAGAGAUCAGCCUAUGUCCUAUCAGCUUGUUGGUAAGGUAAUGGCUUACCAAGGCUAUGACGGGUAUCCGGCCUGAGAGGGUGAACGGACACACUGGAACUGAGACACGGUCCAGACUCCUACGGGAGGCAGCAGUAGGGAAUAUUGCUCAAUGGGGGAAACCCUGAAGCAGCAACGCCGCGUGGAGGAUGAAGGUUUUAGGAUUGUAAACUCCUUUUGUUAGAGAAGAUAAUGACGGUAUCUAACGAAUAAGCACCGGCUAACUCCGUGCCAGCAGCCGCGGUAAUACGGAGGGUGCAAGCGUUACUCGGAAUCACUGGGCGUAAAGAGCGCGUAGGCGGGAUAGUCAGUCAGGUGUGAAAUCCUAUGGCUUAACCAUAGAACUGCAUUUGAAACUACUAUUCUAGAGUGUGGGAGAGGUAGGUGGAAUUCUUGGUGUAGGGGUAAAAUCCGUAGAGAUCAAGAGGAAACUCCAUUUUAAAGGUUCGC